CCUACGGGUGGCAGCAGUGGGGAAUAUUGGGCAAUGGGCGCAAGCCUGACCCAGCAACGCCGCGUGAAGGAAGAAGGCUUUCGGGUUGUAAACUUCUUUUAUCAGGGACGAAGCAAGUGACGGUACCUGAUGAAUAAGCCACGGCUAACUACGUGCCAGCAGCCGCGGUAAUACGUAGGUGGCAAGCGUUAUCCGGAUUUACUGGGUGUAAAGGGCGUGUAGGCGGGAAAGCAAGUCAGAUGUGAAAACCAUGGGCUCAACCUGUGGGCUGCAUUUGAAACUGUUUUUCUUGAGUACUGGAGAGGCAGACGGAAUUCAGGGGGUAGCGGUGAAAUGCGUAGAUAUUAGGAAGAACACCGGUGGCGAAGGCGGUCUGCUGGACAGCAACUGACGCUGAGGCGCGAAAGCGUGGGGAGCAAACAGGAUUAGAUACCCCGGUAGUC
rnacentral:rRNA from 1 species